CCCAGACUCCUACGGGAGGCUGCAGUCGAGAAUCUUUCGCAAUGGGGGAAACCCUGACGAAGCGACGCCGCGUGGAGGAUGAAUGCCCUCGGGUUGUAAACUCCUGUCACUUGGGAUGAAAAGUGGGGCCAUUAAUACCGGUUCUGCCUGACAGUACCUUGAAAGGAAGCUCCGGCUAACUACGUGCCAGCAGCCGCGGUAAUACGUAGGGAGCAAGCGUUGUUCGGAUUUACUGGGCGUAAAGGGUGUGUAUGUUGCUUGGUAAGUCAGUUGUGAAAUCCUUAACUGCUCAACAGAAGAAUUGCAAUCGAUACUACCAGGCUAGAGUUCGGUAGAGGAGAGCGGAAUUCCCGGUGUAAGCGGUGAAAUGCGUAGAUAUCGAGAAGAACACCAGUGGCGUAGGCGGCUCUCUAGCCCGAUACUGACACUGAAACACGAAAGCGUGGGUAGCGAACGGGAUUAGAUACCCCGGUAGUCCACGCCGUAAACGAUGGGUACUAGGUGCAGGUGGUAUCGAUCCCUUCUGUGCCGAAGCAAACGCGUUAAGUACCCCGCCUGGGGAGUACGGCCGCAAGGCUAAAACUCAAAGGAAUAGACGGGGGCCCGCACAAGCGGUGGAGCAUGUGGUUUAAUACGACGCAACGCGUAGAACCUUACCAGGGCUUGACAUGCUGGUGGUACUGGCUCCGAAAGGAGACAGGACCCUUCGGGGAGCCAACACAGAUGUUGCACGGCUGUCGUCAGCUCGUGUCGUGAGAUGUUGGGUUAAGUCCCGCAACGAGCGCAACCCUUGUCCUUAGUUGCCAGCAGGUAAUGCUGGGGACUCUAAGGAGACUGCCUGUGAUAAGCAGGAGGAAGGUGAGGAUGACGUCAAGUCAUUGUGGCUCUUACGCCCUGGGCUACACACGUGCUACAAUGGUCGAUACAAUGGGUAGCAAUGCCGCGAGGUGGAGCCAAUCCCCAAAAGUCGGCCUCAGUUCGGAUUGGAGUCUGCAACUCGACUCCAUGAAGUCGGAAUCGCUAGUAAUGGCGCAUCAGCUACGGCGCCGUGAAUACGUUCCCGGGCCUUGUACUCACCGCCCGUCACAUCACCUGAGUUGAUUGCACCUGAAGUCACUGGUCUAACCUUCGGGAGGAAAGUGCCGAAGGUGUGAUUGGUAAGGGGGAUGAAGUCG
rnacentral:rRNA from 1 species